CCUACGGGGGGCAGCAGUAGGGAAUCUUCCACAAUGGACGAAAGUCUGAUGGAGCAACGCCGCGUGAGUGAAGAAGGGUUUCGGCUCGUAAAGCUCUGUUGGGAGUGAAGAAAGAUAGAGGUAGUAACUGGCCUUUAUUUGACGGUAAUUACUUAGAAAGUCACGGCUAACUACGUGCCAGCAGCCGCGGUAAUACGUAGGUGGCAAGCGUUGUCCGGAUUUAUUGGGCGUAAAGCGAGUGCGGGCGGUUCAAUAAGGCUGAUGUGAAAGCCUUCGGCUCAACCGGAGAAUUGCAUCAGAAACCG
rnacentral:rRNA from 1 species